AGCGUACACGGUGGAUGCCCUGGCAGUCAGAGGCGAUGAAGGACGUGCUAAUCUGCGAUAAGCGUCGGUAAGGUGAUAUGAACCGUUAUAACCGGCGAUUUCCGAAUGGGGAAACCCAGUGUGAUUCGUCACACUAUCAUUAACUGAAUCCAUAGGUUAAUGAGGCGAACCGGGGGAACUGAAACAUCUAAGUACCCCGAGGAAAAGAAAUCAACCGAGAUUCCCCCAGUAGCGGCGAGCGAACGGGGAGGAGCCCAGAGCCUGAAUCAGUGUGUGUGUUAGUGGAAGCGUCUGGAAAGGCGCGCGAUACAGGGUGACAGCCCCGUACACAAAAAUGCACAUGCUGUGAGCUCGAUGAGUAGGGCGGGACACGUGGUAUCCUGUCUGAAUAUGGGGGGACCAUCCUCCAAGGCUAAAUACUCCUGACUGACCGAUAGUGAACCAGUACCGUGAGGGAAAGGCGAAAAGAACCCCGGCGAGGGGAGUGAAAAAGAACCUGAAACCGUGUACGUACAAGCAGUGGGAGCACGCUUAGGCGUGUGACUGCGUACCUUUUGUAUAAUGGGUCAGCGACUUAUAUUCUGUAGCAAGGUUAACCGAAUAGGGGAGCCGAAGGGAAACCGAGUCUUAACUGGGCGUUAAGUUGCAGGGUAUAGACCCGAAACCCGGUGAUCUAGCCAUGGGCAGGUUGAAGGUUGGGUAACACUAACUGGAGGACCGAACCGACUAAUGUUGAAAAAUUAGCGGAUGACUUGUGGCUGGGGGUGAAAGGCCAAUCAAACCGGGAGAUAGCUGGUUCUCCCCGAAAGCUAUUUAGGUAGCGCCUCGUGAAUUCAUCUCCGGGGGUAGAGCACUGUUUCGGCAAGGGGGUCAUCCCGACUUACCAACCCGAUGCAAACUGCGAAUACCGGAGAAUGUUAUCACGGGAGACACACGGCGGGUGCUAACGUCCGUCGUGAAGAGGGAAACAACCCAGACCGCCAGCUAAGGUCCCAAAGUCAUGGUUAAGUGGGAAACGAUGUGGGAAGGCCCAGACAGCCAGGAUGUUGGCUUAGAAGCAGCCAUCAUUUAAAGAAAGCGUAAUAGCUCACUGGUCGAGUCGGCCUGCGCGGAAGAUGUAACGGGGCUAAACCAUGCACCGAAGCUGCGGCAGCGACGCUUAUGCGUUGUUGGGUAGGGGAGCGUUCUGUAAGCCUGUGAAGGUGUGCUGUGAGGCAUGCUGGAGGUAUCAGAAGUGCGAAUGCUGACAUAAGUAACGAUAAAGCGGGUGAAAAGCCCGCUCGCCGGAAGACCAAGGGUUCCUGUCCAACGUUAAUCGGGGCAGGGUGAGUCGACCCCUAAGGCGAGGCCGAAAGGCGUAGUCGAUGGGAAACAGGUUAAUAUUCCUGUACUUGGUGUUACUGCGAAGGGGGGACGGAGAAGGCUAUGUUGGCCGGGCGACGGUUGUCCCGGUUUAAGCGUGUAGGCUGGUUUUCCAGGCAAAUCCGGAAAAUCAAGGCUGAGGCGUGAUGACGAGGCACUACGGUGCUGAAGCAACAAAUGCCCUGCUUCCAGGAAAAGCCUCUAAGCAUCAGGUAACAUCAAAUCGUACCCCAAACCGACACAGGUGGUCAGGUAGAGAAUACCAAGGCGCUUGAGAGAACUCGGGUGAAGGAACUAGGCAAAAUGGUGCCGUAACUUCGGGAGAAGGCACGCUGAUAUGUAGGUGAAGUCCCUCGCGGAUGGAGCUGAAAUCAGUCGAAGAUACCAGCUGGCUGCAACUGUUUAUUAAAAACACAGCACUGUGCAAACACGAAAGUGGACGUAUACGGUGUGACGCCUGCCCGGUGCCGGAAGGUUAAUUGAUGGGGUCAGCGCAAGCGAAGCUCUUGAUCGAAGCCCCGGUAAACGGCGGCCGUAACUAUAACGGUCCUAAGGUAGCGAAAUUCCUUGUCGGGUAAGUUCCGACCUGCACGAAUGGCGUAAUGAUGGCCAGGCUGUCUCCACCCGAGACUCAGUGAAAUUGAACUCGCUGUGAAGAUGCAGUGUACCCGCGGCAAGACGGAAAGACCCCGUGAACCUUUACUAUAGCUUGACACUGAACAUUGAGCCUUGAUGUGUAGGAUAGGUGGGAGGCUUUGAAGUGUGGACGCCAGUCUGCAUGGAGCCGACCUUGAAAUACCACCCUUUAAUGUUUGAUGUUCUAACGUUGACCCGUAAUCCGGGUUGCGGACAGUGUCUGGUGGGUAGUUUGACUGGGGCGGUCUCCUCCUAAAGAGUAACGGAGGAGCACGAAGGUUGGCUAAUCCUGGUCGGACAUCAGGAGGUUAGUGCAAUGGCAUAAGCCAGCUUGACUGCGAGCGUGACGGCGCGAGCAGGUGCGAAAGCAGGUCAUAGUGAUCCGGUGGUUCUGAAUGGAAGGGCCAUCGCUCAACGGAUAAAAGGUACUCCGGGGAUAACAGGCUGAUACCGCCCAAGAGUUCAUAUCGACGGCGGUGUUUGGCACCUCGAUGUCGGCUCAUCACAUCCUGGGGCUGAAGUAGGUCCCAAGGGUAUGGCUGUUCGCCAUUUAAAGUGGUACGCGAGCUGGGUUUAGAACGUCGUGAGACAGUUCGGUCCCUAUCUGCCGUGGGCGCUGGAGAACUGAGGGGGGCUGCUCCUAGUACGAGAGGACCGGAGUGGACGCAUCACUGGUGUUCGGGUUGUCAUGCCAAUGGCACUGCCCGGUAGCUAAAUGCGGAAGAGAUAAGUGCUGAAAGCAUCUAAGCACGAAACUUGCCCCGAGAUGAGUUCU
rnacentral:rRNA from 1 species